CCGGAAGUGAGCACUGCUUCAGGCGCUAACUUUGUUGUCUGGGACUGGCACAGGAGCAGAGUACUUUCAACAUUUCUGUUACUGGGUAAUGAUGAAAAAUUAACAGUUAAACCUCAACGGAGGCAGGGAAACAUCAACUCUGAUAGUUAGGAACAACAAAUGUUGGAAACACUCGGUUACUCCGGUAUCUCUGCAAGGGAUGGAAGAACAGGUUUUAUUUCAGAUAUCCAGAAUUCUCAAUAUUUUGGAAAAGUUGAAUGUUAAAUUUUACCAGGAUCUGAUAGGACAGAUCAGAGGAUACGAGAUAGCAUGGAAAUUGAAGAGUCUUAUGGUCUAGAAUUUUAUAAGGCUGUUACCUACCAAGAUUCGUGGAUUUUUGACUUCAGGAAGAAAGGAGGAGGAUACGCCCCAUCUACAAAAAUGGAGCUGAGGUGGAGAGGGUCGAGACCAUCAAGUUCCUGGGAGUGAGGAUAACCAACAAGCUGUCCUGGACUUCCCACAGAUAUGACAGUCAAGAAGGCAUACCAACGCCUCUUCCUCAGGCGACUUAGAAUAUUUAGCAUGUUUAUAAGGUCUCUCACCAGCAUCUACAGAUGCAAAACAUACUAUCCAGGUGCACAACAGCCUGAUACAGCAACUGUUCUACCCAUUUACACUUCUUGUUGCUGUGGAAAGGCUGCCAAAAUCAUCAAAGACACAUCCCACCCCAGUAAUGCUCUCCUAUAACCUCUAACGUCAGGCAGAAGAUACAGAAGCUUGAACACACACACCACCAGGUUCAGGAACAGCUUCUUCCCUGUGUUAUUAGACUGAUGAAUGGACUCUUUAACUUCAAAUAAUGUUGAUCUUGCUAAUGUUGAUCUUGCCUAGCGCACCUCUUGUGCAGUUGUAACCUGUAUGCCUUGCUCCAUCUAAGCAACCUAUGAUCUGUAUGUCCUUGUUUGCUAUGAUCUGCCUGUACUACUCACAAAAUGAAGUUUUUCACUGUACUUAGGUACAUAUGACUGCCAUAAAUCAAUUCAAUAAAUCUAGCAAGAAGUC